AAAAAAAAAAACCAACUGAAUUGUUCCAAAGAAAGAAGAAAAUGAAUUCAUGCAGUCCUAAACUUCCAGUCAUCUGUCUCUCGGACCUGCAAACCC